rnacentral:guide_RNA from 1 species
AAUACCAAUAAAAGAUGAAGCUAUAGUUGUGUGAUAGAUAAUUAAAG